CCAAUACCACUAAUUGUUUGUGGCACCGUAUAGUUAUGGGCUCAUUUUUGUAAUAACGCUAAGACAAGACUUAAGCCCAGAAUGAGUAACACUUGACUAUAUGGGCUUAAUUAACUCAAACUAAAAUAAAACAAUCCAAAAUAUUUAAAACAACUCAACUAGUCCAGCCCAUACAUGAUAGCAAUAGUUACCCGUUGAUUAAGAUCGUUCCUUGAUGAUCUAGUUCAGCUAAUCUUCAAUCUUGGA
rnacentral:lncRNA from 1 species